rnacentral:rRNA from 1 species
UACAGAGGGUGCAAGCGUUAAUCGGAAUUACUGGGCGUAAAGCGCACGUAGGUGGCUUGAUAAGUUGGGUGUGAAAUCCCCGAGCUUAACUUGGGAAUUGCAUUCAAGACUGUCUUGCUAGAGUGUGGAAGAGGGAAGCGGAAUUCCAGGUGUAGCGGUGAAAUGCGUAGAUAUCGGGAGGAACACCUGUGGCGAAAGCGGCUCACUGGACCACAACUGACGCUGAGGCGCGAAAGCUAGGGGAGCAAACAGG